CCUAAAUGUACAUCACUGGCAGUUUCGUGUGAAACAUUAUUCGCAAAGUUUGCAAAGUUUUGAUUUAAAAAGUGAAUUAAAUAAAUUAAGUGAAUUGAAAAAACAGGAUAUAAAAGACUAAUGGCGCCUCCACUACCCUGUGGCCCCUACUGCGGCAACGGUUACUGCGCAUCGCACUGCCAAUUCAAAAACAUGCCGCUCCCGCCAUCGCACCAGCAGCAGUGGAAACCACCGCCUUACAGUGAACCACCUUCAAGGAACCCCAACACUCCAAACAGGCCGCCAGUAACUCUUCCGCAGUAUCGCCAACCGUCACCAGGUUUCCCCCAUCCGCCAAUGCACCCACCUCAUUAUCGUCCGCCUUACCCUCGCCCGCCUUAUGGACCACCAGUACCCGGAGAUCCGUAUCCUCCUGUUCAUCGUCCAUUAUGAACUAAAAACAUGUUUGGGGUAUCCAUGAAUUACGUGUCACGACGAUUUUGUGAGAUUGGGUGGUAGAGUACCUUUUGUAAUUCAACGAUUGAAUGAGAUUUGAUAAAAUUCAAUUCACAUCCUGCGUAAUCAAUGGAACCCCGUAACUGAAUUAGAAUUAAGACAUGUAGAUAAAUAAAUAAAUUAUUUGGGUACAAUUGUAAGUGGAUAUAUUUCUAUGUCUAACAAUACUUCAGUCUGCAUGUGUCUGGUCGAGGUCAAUUUGUAAUUUUCAGUGAGACUACGUCUCUUCAUAGAUAUUACAGAAGCGCUGUAUGAAUGUGUUGACAUUAGUGAUGUGCUAUAUCAUCAAAAAUGUACAUCAACGGAUACGGCUGUUUGACCUGAGGAUCAGAUUCACAUCACUAGUACAUACGUCAGAGUUAAAUUAAUCUGUAAAUACUCGUAGUGAAGUAAGUAGUUUGACCGAUGAUUGACAAAAUAAUUUUUAUACAAGUUCUGGAGCUAAGAUUUUUUACUUUUUAAGAUUAUUAAUGUUUACAUUGAUUGAGGAACGUAUUGUUUUAUUAAACAAGGUAGGUCACUAAAAAUAUGUUAUUUAUUGUAGUCCUAUGUGUGUCCCUGUGUUAUAAAAAUAUACUUGUUUUUUGUUUUGUA